rnacentral:rRNA from 1 species
GACGUAAGGCGCGAGCGUUGUCCGGAUUUAUUGGGCGUAAAGAGCUCGUAGGCGGCUUGUCGCGUCGAAUGUGAAAACCCACGGCUCAGCUGUGGGCUUGCAUUCGAUACGGGCAGGCUAGAGUUCGGUAGGGGAGACUGGAAUUCCUGGUGUAGCGGUGAAAUGCGCAGAUAUCAGGAGGAACACCGGUGGCGAAGGCGGGUCUCUGGGCCGAUACUGACGCUGAGGAGCGAAAGCGUGGGGAGCGAACAGG